UUGAAUUUUAAUGAAGAGUUUGGUUGUAGCUGGCCCAUUCAUUUGGGCAUGUGCACACCUUCCUCUUUCAUCCCACACACCUGUGAACCUGUGAGACAGAGAUGGGGAAUUUACUUGCUGCUUUUUGGAAUACAAAGGCAAUAGGUUAUUGGACCCCCCCUCUGUCUACUCAAUUAAUAUAAACUCAAUUUAUUUUAAAACGAAUGUAAUGGAUGUAACACAUCUCAUAC
rnacentral:misc_RNA from 1 species